UCUCGGCUUAUCACCGGCAGUCCCUCUAGAGUGCCCAACUGAAUGCUGGCAACUAGAGGCGAGGGUUGCGCUCGUUGCGGGACUUAACCCAACAUCUCACGACACGAGCUGACGACAGCCAUGCAGCACCUAGUUUCGUGUCAUUGCUGAAGGUCCCCUUUCAGGGACGGUCACUAACUUUCAAGCCCAGGUAAGGUUCCUCGCGUAUCAUCGAAUUAAACCACAUGCUCCUCCGCUUGUGCGGGCCCCCGUCAAUUCCUUUGAGUUUCAACCUUGCGGUCGUACUUCCCAGGUGGAUAACUUAAUGCUUUCGCUUAGACGCUGACUGUGUAUCGCCAACAUCGAGUUAUCAUCGUUUAGGGCGUGGACUAC
rnacentral:misc_RNA from 1 species